rnacentral:rRNA from 1 species
CCGGCGAACGGGUGCGUAACACGUGAACAACCUGCCCCUCGUGUGGGGGAUAGCCAUGCUAACGCGUGGGUAAUACCGCAUACGUUCCCUUGGAGGAGUCUCUGGGGGAGGAAAGCUCCGGCGCACGGGGAGGGGUUCGCGGCCUAUCAGCUAGUUGGCGGGGUAAUGGCCCACCAAGGCGACGACGGGUAGCUGGUCUGAGAGGAUGGCCAGCCACAUUGGGACUGAGAGACGGCCCAG